GCGGGCGUGGCGGAAUUGGUAGACGCACUGGAUUUAGGUUCCAGCGGCGAAAGCCGUGGGGGUUCAAAUCCCUCCGCCCGCACCA
rnacentral:tRNA from 4 species